GCACUGCUGAGGAGUCCUAUAAUAGGACGAAACGGCUGUGAAGUGC
rfam:Schistosoma mansoni, Puerto Rico, WGS project CABG01000000 data, contig: 0094